rnacentral:rRNA from 1 species
GGGGGCCUUACGGCCCGAAUCCGGUGAUCCGUGGUGCCGAGAAAAGCUUCGGCGUCAGGCGCGUUGCCGCCCGUACCCCAAACCGACACUGGUGGUCAGGUAGAGAAUACCAAAGCGAUUGAGCGAAUCCUGGUCAAGGAACUCGGCAAAUUGCUCCCGUGCCUUCGGCAUAAGGGAGACCCCCUGCGGUGAUGAGCGGCGGGGGGUGGCACAGGCCAGGGGGUAGCGACUGUUUACCAAAAACACAGGAGCGUGCGAAGGCGCAAGCCGCUGUAUACGCUCUGACGCCUGCCCGGUGCCGGAAGGUUAAGAGGAUCCGUCAGCUUUCUGCGAAGCGGUGAAUUCAAGCCCCGGUAAACGGCGGUGGUAACGAUAACCAUCCUAAGGUAGCGAAAUUCCUUGUCGGGUAAGUUCCGACCUGCACGAAUGGCGUAACGACUUCCCCACUGUCUCGACCAGGAGCUCGGCGAAAUUGCAGUACGAGUAAAGAUGCUCGUUAAACGCAGAAGGACGAAAAGACCCCGGGACCUUUACUAUACCUUGGUAUUGGCAUUAGGCGCGGAUUGUGUAGCAUAGGCGGGAGGCUUCGAGGCGGGUGCGCCAGCAUCCGCGGAGCCGCAAGGUGAAAUACCGCUCUGUUCUCGUUUGAUGUCUAACCUCGAACAGUCAUCCUGUUCAGGGACAGUGCCUGGCGGGUAGUUCAACUGGGGCGGUUGCCUCCCAAAGAGUAACGGAGGCGCUCAAAGGUCCGCUCGGCCCGGUUGGCAAUCGGGUGUCGAGUGUAAUCGCACAAGCGGGCUUGACUGCGAGAUCGACGGAUCGAGCAGGGACGAAAGUCGGAGAUAGUGAUCCGGUGCCGGCGCACGGGCGCGGCAUCGCUCAACGGAUAAAAGGUACCCCGGGGAUAACAGGCUGAUCAUUCCCAAGAGUCCAUAUCGACGGGAUGGUUUGGCACCUCGAUGUCGGCUCGUCGCAUCCUGGGGCUGGAGCAGGUCCCAAGGGUUCGGCUGUUCGCCGAUCAAAGCGGCACGCGAGCUGGGUUCAGAACGUCGUGAGACAGUUUGGUCUCUAUCCUCUGCGCUCGUUGGAAUCUUGAGGAGGCCUGCCCAUAGUACGAGAGGACCUGGGUGGACGAACCUCUGGUAUGCCGGUCGUCACGCCAGUGGCGCGGCCGGUUGGCUACGUUCGGAAGGGAUAACCGCUGAAAGCAUCUAAGCGGGAAGCCUUCUCCAAGAUAAGGAUUCCAUGCGGCCCCGAGCCGCUGAAGACCCCAUGCAGAACACGUGGUCGAUAGGCCGGACGUGGAAGCCCCGCGAGGGGUGGAGCCGACCGGUACUAAUGGUCGAGAGGCAACC